UACAGAGGGGGCAAGCGUUGUUCGGAAUUACUGGGCGUAAAGGGCGCGUAGGCGGCCUGCUAAGUCGAACGUGAAAUCCCUGGGCUCAACCCAGGAACUGCGUCCGAUACUGGUUGGCUUGAAUCCGGGAGAGGGAUGUGGAAUUCCCGGUGUAGUGGUGAAAUGCGUAGAUAUCGGGAGGAACACCAGUGGCGAAGGCGGCUUUCUGGUCUGCUCUUGACGCUGAGGCGCGAAAGCUAGGGUAGCAAACGGG
rnacentral:rRNA from 1 species